AUUUUACUCCCUCCGUUCGGAAUUACUUGUCUUAAAAAUGGAUGUAUCUAAAACCAAAAUACGUCUAGAUAUAUUCAUUUCUGCGACAAGUAAUUCUGAACAGGGGGAGUAGUUG
rnacentral:pre_miRNA from 1 species